AUUGAACGCUGGCGGCAUGCCUUACACAUGCAAGUCGAACGGUAACGCGGGGCAACCUGGCGACGAGUGGCGAACGGGUGAGUAAAGCAUCGGAACGUGCCCAGUAGUGGGGGAUAGCCCGGCGAAAGCCGGAUUAAUACCGCAUACGACCUAUGGGUGAAAGGGGGGGAUCGCAAGACCUCUCGCUAUUGGAGCGGCCGAUGUCAGAUUAGGUAGUUGGUGGGGUAAAGGCCUACCAAGCCGACGAUCUGUAGCUGGUCUGAGAGGACGACCAGCCACACUGGGACUGAGACACGGCCCAGACUCCUACGGGAGGCAGCAGUGGGGAAUUUUGGACAAUGGGCGCAAGCCUGAUCCAGCCAUGCCGCGUGCGGGAAGAAGGCCUUCGGGUUGUAAACCGCUUUUGUCAGGGAAGAAAUCCUUUGGGUUAAUACCUCGAGGGGAUGACGGUACCUGAAGAAUAAGCACCGGCUAACUACGUGCCAGCCGCCGCAGUAA
rnacentral:rRNA from 1 species